ACGAAUACAUAGACGGAGUGGUGGCCAUUUUUUCGGGCACCACUUUAUACCCCUGGGGAGUGACGGAUUACAAUUAUUACAAUCACUCGACCAUUGAGAAGCCCCUCAAUUCAAAUCACGUCAGUUUGACAACAGUUGUCAUUUUCAUUUUUGUUUACCUCCUGUUUCUGAUUCAAAAAUCAAUGAAUCGAGACGGAGUUUGUCGAUUUGAGUGCAGUUAUGGUGAAACAAUAAUAAUAAAGCCUAAAACAUGGAUGAUGAUGAUUAUUCUGGGCGAUGAGAUGCACCGGUGAAUUAGCUCAGCAGCGACAACAACAACAGCUAGGGGUCUACAAUGUUCUGUUCUGUUCUGAUGGUAAUGCAGAGUUUCUGAAAGGUCAACCGGAUACAAAUGAUGCUGGAGCUGAUCCGAAAGCUUAUACUGGAAUGGAAGUGAAAAAAACAAAGCAGACGGCAGCGCAUCAGCCCCGAUUCAAACAUCAACAAUUUAUCUAAGCGGCUUGUUGGCAUGGAUGCGGAACAAGAACGAGCUCCCCUAGGCCAACGUCAAAUGUAGGAUUGUGUUUCGUUGGGAAUCAUUCUGGAUUUGUGAACCGUCAAAGAUUUCCAUUGGAAUCCUUCGCCGUCGCCUUCGCCGUUAUUUUGGUUGAUGAUUCACCACAACGUAAAGCCAACAGCUUUCUGGACAAACUCGUCAUUAAAAAACACUUCAACUGCGCCAUUAAUCGUUUCAUAUUGCGACCAAAUUGGCUCUCUUGCACGGUGUAAUACGGAAAUCAGGAGGUGGCAGAAGCAUCCCUACUUAAGACUAUUCCGUGAUGUCAAAUUCAACGUGUAUUCGACCUGAGACUAUUCGACGAGUCAGUGGCAUCGGUUUGGAAAACAUAUGUUCAGCGUGCGACGAUGUAAAAAUAAACUCGAGAUGCAGCAGGAGCAAAUCAUCAUUAGCAAGACCAAGCAGUUUGCGGACCAGGCCCAUCAGUAGCAAUCAAUUGCAUCGCUUCUAAACCGAGAUUUUCGGGCCCGCAACCGGCGUUGGGUCAGCCGGAGCCGAUGAGGAUGCCGAAGGUAAUGGCAACGGUACGUAGAGAAAAUUUCCUAGAUUCAGGCGAUCCGAAGGCGUUUCAAUCGGAAAUUGUAUUCGAGUCAUUAGCCGGCGUUUACGGCGGAGGAUCGAUCGGAUCACUGCAUAAGAAAUGUUAUUCGAGAGAGUACAAGUCUACAGUG